rnacentral:rRNA from 1 species
UACGUAGGGUGCAAGCGUUAAUCGGAAUUACUGGGCGUAAAGGGUUCGUAGGUGGCCCGCUAAGUCAGACGUGAAAUCCCUCAGCUCAACUGGGGAACUGCGUCUGAGACUGGUGGGCUUGAGUGCAGGAGAGGAACGCGGAAUUCCAGGUGUAGCGGUGAAAUGCGUAGAUAUCUGGAGGAACACCGGUGGCGAAGGCGGCGUUCUGGACUGUUACUGACACUGAGGAACGAAAGCCAGGGGAGCAAACGGG